GCCAGCAAGUCCAGGGCUCUUUGGUUUUGCAGGGCUACAGAAGCAGGAAAGGUAUUUUGUCUGGGCAUCAUAUGCCUGAGGAAAUCAGAAGAUGUCUGAUCCCUUGGAACGGGAGUUACAGGUGAUUGGGAGCCACCAUUGUAUGCAGGUGCUGGAAAGCAAAUCCAGGUCCUCUACAAGAGCAACAAGUGCUCUUAACUGCAGAACCAUCUCUUCAGCUCCACACAAAGAUUUUAAAAAGAGAAUUCAGGGAGUCCAAGAACUGAGAUGAACACAAGGUCUUCACCGUCUCCACUGUCUGCUGGGACAGAGCAUCCCCCAUUGUGAGAAGAUCCUCUCGUCUCAGGGAAGAGUAGCUUCUAUGACCCACACCAGGAGACAUCAGACACUUGCCUAGCACAUCCCAGCCGCACACCUCUUCACAUGCUGUUUACCACAUGUGCUCUUUCAUCAGCUGUAUUAAAGGAUACCACAGGCUGGGUUUACAAUGUGGUAAUAACCAUGCAUGGUAAGAGAGAGGGGGGCCAGCAAGAUGGCUCAGUGGAUAAGGGUGCUUGCCACCAAACUUGAAGACCCAAGUUCAAUGCCCAGAACCCACAGGGGAGGAGAGCACUGUCUCUUAAAUGUUGUCUUCUGACUUCUACCCUCCCCUGAAGAAUGAAUGAAUGAAUGAAGAAAGAAAUGGC
rnacentral:lncRNA from 1 species